rnacentral:rRNA from 1 species
GAUCCUGGCUCAGGAUGAACGCUAGCUACAGGCUUAACACAUGCAAGUCGAGGGGCAUCAUGAUCUUAGCUUGCUAAGAUUGAUGGCGACCGGCGCACGGGUGAGUAACGCGUAUCCAACCUUCCCUGUACUAGGGGAUAGCCCGGCGAAAGUCGGAUUAAUACCCUAUGUUUUCCGAAGCGAGCAUUUAAUUUGGAACAAAGGUUUACCGGUAUAGGAUGGGGGAUGCGUCUGAUUAGAUAGUAGGCGGGGUAACGGCCCACCUAGUCGACGAUCAGUAGGGGUUCUGAGAGGAAGGUCCCCCACAUUGGAACUGAGACACGGUCCAAACUCCUACGGGAGGCAGCAGUGAGGAAUAUUGGUCAAUGGGCGAGAGCCUGAACCAGCCAAGUAGCCGUGCAGGAUGACGGCCCUAUGGGUUGUAAACUGCUUUUAUAUAGGGAUAAAGUGAGGGACGUGUCCCUUAUUGUAGGUACUAUAUGAAUAAGGACCGGCUAAUUCCGUGCCAGCCGCGGC